rnacentral:rRNA from 1 species
GGAUGCGAUCAUACCAGCACUAAAGCACCGGAUCCCAUUUUAGAACUCCGAAGUUAAGCGUGCUUGGGCGAGAGUAGUACUAGGAUGGGUGACCUCCUGGGAAGUCCUCGUGUUGCAUUCC